AUUGAACGCUGGCGGCAGGCCUAACACAUGCAAGUCGAGCGGAGCGGCGGACGGGUGAGUAAUGCUUAGGAAUCGGCCUGUUAGUGGGGGAUAACGUCCGGAAACGGGAGCUAAUACCGCAUACUAUUAGAUGAGCCUAGGUCGGAUUAGCUAGUUGGUGGGGUAAAGGCCUACCAAGGCGACGAUCCGUAACUGGUCUGGGAGGAUGAUCAGUCAACCUGGAACUGGGACACGGUCCAGCCUCCUACGGGAGGCAGCAGUGGGGAAUAUUGGCCAAUGGGCGAAAGCCUGAUCCAGCCAUGCCGCGUGUGUGAAGAAGGCCUUCGGGUUGUAAAGCACUUGAAGCUGGGAGGCGUUACCCGCAGAAUAAGCACCGGCUAACUCCGUGCCAGCAGCCGCGGUAAUAC
rnacentral:rRNA from 1 species